AAGUAAAAGGACAAGAAAAAUUUCAUACCCGUUAAUCAGAAUCCUAACGCAAUUUUGUUUCUUCCUCAUUGUUCUUCGAUCUCCCUUUGUUCUAUACCAUGUUCUCCCUCAGUCAUCUACCAUGUUCUCCCUCAGUCAUCUACCAUGUUCUCCUCGGUUUUCUUCUUUUUCUCCAGUGGGUGAAAAACUAGCAGAAAGUAUCGAGUGCGAUGGACAGGAAUCCGAAUCCAGAAGUGUUACAGAAUGAAUAACGUUGAGAAAAAGCACAAUCCUAGCUUCUAAUCGGCUCCUACAGUACAUAUAUACCCAAACAGUAUUAUACUUUACCUUUCUUUUCUUACUACCGUCUAGCUCUGGUACCUGUUUUAAAUUAUAUGACUGCCAAAAUUAAUUAGAGAGGUACCCAAUUUAUCUUAUACAACAGUUUGAAAGACUAGCACUACUCUGCUUAUAGAGAUGUAAACUUUCUGGGAAAUAUUAUGGCAAAACGAGAUUGCUUUCUCUUGCUACUGGUGUUCCCACUACAGGAAAAACACCCUUCGACAGUGAUGUGUUCUUCACCGGAAACAACCCAAGGUCCACUGCGUAAACCUAAAUUCAUACUACAUGUGCACAUACUCUUUGCCCACACAUUAAUUGUACCACUUGCUGCUCAGGCAGUCACAAAACUUUCAGAAAGGAAAAUAUACACGGUAUUGAAAGAAUUUCUCCCGCCAGAAGCAGCAUGAUCCAGUAUCUUUGGAAUCGGGCUUGUUGAAGGGGAUGCAUAUUUGUGAGAGUUUGCGAUUGAAUCAAAACGACUGAAAAAGUAUACCUUUUUGAUUCAAUGGAACUUUAAUGGAGGUGGUGAAUUCAAUGGAGAUGGAGGAAAUUAUGAAGGUGGAUGUGGCUUUGGCGGCAGAGGAAGAGGCCGCGGAAGAGGUUAUGGUGGCGGAGAUAUGCAACCUGAAUUUGGUGGUUAUAACAAUGAGUGCAACGAUGGGCCUCCUGCCCAAACACGUGGGCGUGGUCGUGGUAGAGGAAGAGGGGGUCGUGGGCGUGGGCGGGACUAUAAUCGGGCAGAUGGACAACAGCAGGUUCAGCCUGUAGUUGCUUGAGCCCUAGGUUACCAGCUUGAAUUCCUCACAAUGUCAAGCCAGUUUCAAGCAAUUCCACUUUAGAAGCAUCUUUCAGUCCAGAUGGAGCGUUCGUUGUAUCAAGUUCAGGGCACGGCAGUGUAUAUGCAUGGAGUGUCAGAACUGGAAAAGAAGUAUGAUAACACUCGCCACUUAGAUCUUUUGAAUAUGCAUACAUUUCAUAAUUUGUAUACGAAGUACAAACUACAAAAAAUUAUCUCUCAUUACUGGCCACCUUUUCUAAUUUACACAAACUCGAAAUCAGAAGCGAUCAUCACUCACUGUUAUUAAACUGUAUCAAAAGAGACGAUGGGGUUUGAAGUUUAAAGUUGACCCUAAAGUGACCCUAAAUUAUUUCCACAGUUAUAUGACGUACCUUGCGGACUAAGGUUAUUUCUGGGAUCCCCUUGAUAAAGAAAAACACAUGAGGAUUUGUAUUUGGGGGCUUGUGGUGCAGUUUCAGACUGAACUCUGAAGUGAAGCAAUGUGCAACCUGAUAUGACUCCGGAUAUUUCCGGUGAAGAUGUAAUUUGGAUUAAUGGACAAACGAGUUUGCAGUAGAGUUUGUAGUUGUCUUGUUGAAAACAUUAUAAGUUUUUGGUGUGAAGACUCGAAUGUAAUUUAUGCUUAAUGCCUAAGUCACUUUGAUAAUCAA